CCUACGGGAGGCAGCAGUCGAGAAUUUUUCACAAUGGACGAAAGUCUGAUGGAGCGACGCCGCGUGGAGGAUGAAGGUUUUCGGAUUGUAAACUCCUGUCACUGCAGAACAAGGUAAUGCCAGUUAACAGCCGGCGUUAUUGAUGGUAUGCGGAGAGGAAGGGACGGCUCACUCUGUGCCAGCAGCCGCGGUAAU
rnacentral:rRNA from 1 species